AAAAGCAGUUUUCAUUAGAGAUGUAGCAGUUGGUAUCUCGUGGUAGGAUAAGGAGGAUGAGAGAGAGGAAGAAACGGCCAUUACUGUGAUAGUGUGAGCCGGGGUAAGCUUGGUGCUACCUCUUUUUUUUUGUUGUUAUGUUCUUUGAAAUAAGAGUAUUGAGAGUUUUUGAAUAUUGUGAAGUGAAUCAUGGAAUGAAAGUGUGAUUGGAAUUAUAUGUUAUUGAAUGAGAAGAAGAGAGAUUGAAUACUGAAAUCUGAAUGUAGUUCAGCAGAAAGAAUGAAUCUGUGGUUGUAUGAAACACUAUAAUGUGAAUGGUAGUUCUGUGUGAAGAAUUC
rnacentral:lncRNA from 1 species